CUCCAUCUCUUUCCCAACUUCUCUCUCAAAUCAGAUAAUCGGUCGGUCAGUUUAUCUCGGCUCCACCGCACCUCCACCUCGUUACAGCUCUUUCCGUCAAACGCACAGAACCCAUCUUCUCGCCCCAGAUGCUCCAUUAGCUUCUCUCACUCCCAUCAACACAAGGGCUACUGCACUCCUUCCUUUCACGGCCAAAUUCUCAACUGCAACAAAACAAAUCUCUGUUUCUAUCUCGCAGAACCCAUUUCUGCCCUCAGAGUACAAGAAGAAAAAGGAAGCAGAC
rnacentral:misc_RNA from 1 species